rnacentral:rRNA from 1 species
CCUACGGGUGGCAGCAGUGAGGAAUAUUGGUCAAUGGCCGAGAGCCUGAACCAGCCAAGUCGCGUGAGGGAAGACGGCCCUACGGGUUGUAAACCUCUUUUGUCGGGGAGCAAAGCGAGUCACGUGUGACUCAUUGAGAGUACCCGAAGAAAAAGCAUCGGCUAACUCCGUGCCAGCAGCCGCGGUAAUACGGAGGAUGCGAGCGUUAUCCGGAUUUAUUGGGUUUAAGGGGUGCGCAGGCGGAGGUGCAAGUCAGCGGUCAAAUUGCGGGGCUCAACCCCGUACUGCCGUUGAAACUGCAUCCCUUGAGUGCGCGAGAAGUAUGCGGAAUGCGUGGUGUAGCGGUGAAAUGCAUAGAGAUCACGCAGAACUCCGAUUGCGAAGGCAGCAUACCGGCGCGCAACUGACGCUCAUGCACGAAAGCGUGGGUAUCGAACAGGAUUAGAUACCCGUGUAGUC